UUUGAUGGAUGUUUGUUCUGUAAUCUCAUUUAGAAUAUGCCCUAGUUUGGGUAGACUUUUUUCUUUUCUUUCUUUUCCUUUUCCUCCUUUUUUUUAAUUUUGAAGAGAAGAAUGUGGGAAAGGAUUUAUAAUAAGAUAUUCCCGAGCAUGAAAAAAGAGAGACAUUUUCUCUUUAGUAAUUCAACAGAACUCAACGAAUGAACAAAUGACAGAAAAAAUGAAGCAUCAUUUGGGUGGUUAACUUAACAAACAAAUAGAAUUUUAGCAGGGGUACAAUUUUUCCAAGUAACAGUCUCUUGCAUAAAUCUAUCAUUGAGAAAAGUACCAGCCAGAAUAAUAAUAGAAUUUAUAGCAAUAACAAUAAAACAUGUGUUUGUUUUUGUCUUUCACUUGCUUCCAAAAAGCCCAAUGUCCUUGACAAAUCAGUGUUUCACAUCUAUAUCAUCAGUGGGGUUAAUCGGCAGCAGGUAUUGCUCUCCAUGUUAUAAGCUGGAGAGACUUGUGUGCUGAAAGAAAGUUUGCCUGAGAUUCCCAUAGAAAGUCCAUAAAACUAAAAGGAUUUAGGAUUGGGGCCUCCCAAACCAGUGCAUUCAUUUCUCUUUAGAUAAUACUGUUUCUCAGCAAAUGUAACUUGUGCCUUAACUAAAAAUUUGCUCAGUUUUGAAUUUUUACUCACUGCAAUAACUAACAAAAUGGAAAAUGCAUAAUGACUCAUUUGCAGAACAUUUUAUAUCCUGUAAUUAAGACUCUAGGAAUCAAAUUAUAGAGUGUCAGCUCUAUUCCUUUGAGCAGAUAUCACUGGCAAUGAGGCGUCUUGCAACGGCCCCUGACUUUGAUUUGGGGCAGCUGAUUCGCAUUUUGCUUUUAACAACAAUCUCAUUGGCUAAAAAUUAUUGAUACUUUCACAUGCAAUGAGUAUAGAUGUUUGACAAGAACAGCACACAAUCAUGUCAUUUCUCUCAUGCACAAGCUCUUUUGUGAUUCGGUAAUCAGUGAACAUAAUUGUCACCUAUUUACAGAUAUGCUUGAAAAUAUGUAGUUUCAAAUUACUCGAGUCAUUUUAGCAGCAUGCCUAAUUUCCUAUACUUUAUUAAGUGUUACACUUUGGCAGUUGUGUUAAAUCGUGAGCAAACUCUAACACCUAGAAGAGUCAGGCUAGUACACAAAUGUAUGAAUGAGAUC
rnacentral:lncRNA from 1 species